rnacentral:lncRNA from 1 species
GAAAAACUCAUUCACUGAAAGAGAACUCCCUUGCAACCUAAAGUGAUUGGACUAGAAUUCACAUUAAAUCCGAACAAGCAUAAAAAUUUCGGUAUAUUUAAUUCCUGCACUUUAUUUCUGCAUCUUAAAUUCUGCUCUUACUGUUAUCAUGUUAUUACAUCAAGUCGACUAAGGAAAACUAGUCAACUUGUAGUAAUUAAAAUAUAAAAAUUAGUAGUUGAAAGUAGAAUUGUCUAAUCGAACUUUUCUUUCUCUUAUACCAGAUUUGUUGUUUCCCUUGCUCCUAAAAUUUUCUUUACCAUCCAACUUGCUUGUUGAGGAAUAUGCAUUGUUUCCCAUCUUUGUUCCUUUAUUGCAUCCACCUUAUCCAUAAACUGUCUUGUUUAUGAGCUAAAUCCGAGUCAGAGGCGAAUCCACGUUGUGGGUUGAGGGGUCAUAGAACCCCCAUUAACUUUGACAAAAAU